rnacentral:rRNA from 1 species
UUUAUGGAGAGUUUGAUCCUGGCUCAGGAUGAACGCUGGCGGCGUGCCUAAUACAUGCAAGUCGAGCGAACAGACGAGGAGCUUGCUCCUCUGACGUUAGCGGCGGACGGGUGAGUAACACGUGGAUAACCUACCUAUAAGACUGGGAUAACUUCGGGAAACCGGAGCUAAUACCGGAUAAUAUAUUGAACCGCAUGGUUCAAUAGUGAAAGACGGUUUUGCUGUCACUUAUAGAUGGAUCCGCGCCGCAUUAGCUAGUUGGUAAGGUAACGGCUUACCAAGGCAACGAUGCGUAGCCGACCUGAGAGGGUGAUCGGCCACACUGGAACUGAGACACGGUCCAGACUCCUACGGGAGGCAGCAGUAGGGAAUCUUCCGCAAUGGGCGAAAGCCUGACGGAGCAACGCCGCGUGAGUGAUGAAGGUCUUCGGAUCGUAAAACUCUGUUAUUAGGGAAGAACAAAUGUGUAAGUAACUAUGCACGUCUUGACGGUACCUAAUCAGAAAGCCACGGCUAACUACGUGCCAGCAGCCGCGGUAAUACGUAGGUGGCAAGCGUUAUCCGGAAUUAUUGGGCGUAAAGCGCGCGUAGGCGGUUUUUUAAGUCUGAUGUGAAAGCCCACGGCUCAACCGUGGAGGGUCAUUGGAAACUGGAAAACUUGAGUGCAGAAGAGGAAAGUGGAAUUCCAUGUGUAGCGGUGAAAUGCGCAGAGAUAUGGAGGAACACCAGUGGCGAAGGCGACUUUCUGGUCUGUAACUGACGCUGAUGUGCGAAAGCGUGGGGAUCAAACAGGAUUAGAUACCCUGGUAGUCCACGCCGUAAACGAUGAGUGCUAAGUGUUGGAGGGUUUCCGCCCUUCAGUGCUGCAGCAAACGCAUUAAGCA